rnacentral:rRNA from 1 species
UUCGCCUGGUUUUACAAAAACAUCUUUUCUUGAUUUAAUAUGAGAUUUGACCUGCCCAAUGAUUUAUUUAAUGGCCGCGGUAUUUUGACUGUGCAAAGGUAGCAAAAUCAUUAGUUUAUUAAUUGUGAACUUGUAUGAAUGGUUUGACGAAAUAUUAACUGUUUCUUAUUUAUGAUUAGAAUUUAAAUUUUGAGUUAAAAUGCUUAAUUUUAUUUUAUUAGACGAGAAGACCCUAUAGAUCUUUAUUUUUUUUUAUAUUAAUAAUUGGUAUAUUUAUAAUAUAAUGAUUUUUUUUGUUGGGGUGACAUGGAGAUAUUUGUAUUAAACUCUUUAUUUUUAUAUACAUUUAUUUUUGAUUAUUUGAUUUUAUUAUAAUAAUUUAAGAUUAGAUACCUUAGGGAUAACAGCGUUAUUUUUUUUGAGAGUUCUUAU